rnacentral:rRNA from 1 species
GACGAACGCUGGCGGCGUGCCUAACACAUGCAAGUCGAACGAAGAGCGAUGGAAGCUUGCUUCUUUCAAUCUUAGUGGCGUACGGGAGAGUAACGCGUAAUCAACCUGCCCUUCAGAGGGGGACAACAGUUGGCAACGACUGCUCAUACCGCCUACGAUCUAAUCUCGGCAUCGAGGAUAGCUGAAAGGUGGCCUCUACCUGUAAGCUAUCACUGAAGGAGGGGAUUGAGGCUGGUUAGCUAGUUGGAGGGGUAACGGCCCACCAAAGCGAUGAUCAGUAGCCGGGCUGGGGAGGAGGACGACCAAAAUGGGAAUGGGGAAAGGCCCAAGAUCCUAAGGGGGGCAACAGGUGGGAAAUUUCCGCGAAUGGGGGAAAGCUUGCGGAACAACGCCGCGGGGGGGGAAGCAGCCUUCGGGUUGUAAAACUCUGUUAAGCGGGACGAAAGGCCUGCAUGCGAAUAGUGAGAAGGAUUGACGGUACCGGAAGAGUAAGCCACGGCUAACUACGUG